AGAGUUUGAUCCUGGCUCAGAACGAACGCUGGCGGCGUGCUUAACACAUGCAAGUCGAACGAGAACGGUUUCUUCGGAGGACCUAUUAAAGUGGCGCACGGGUGAGUAACACGUAGAUAAUCUACCCAGGUGUUUGGAAUAACUGACCGAAAGGUUAGCUAAUACCGAAUACGUUCACAUCAUCGCAAGGUGGCGUGAAGAAAGAUGGCCUCUCCUUGGAAGCUAUCGCAUUUGGAUGAGUUUGCGUACCAUUAGCUAGUUGGUGGGGUAAAGGCCUACCAAGGCUACGAUGGUUAGCGGGUCUGAGAGGAUGAUCCGCCACACUGGAACUGGAACACGGACCAGACUCCUACGGGAGGCAGCAGUGAGGAAUUUUGCGCAAUGGGGGAAACCCUGACGCAGCGACGCCGCGUGGACGAUGAAGGCCUUCGGGUUGUAAAGUCCUGUCAGUGGGGAAGAAAUGUGUAUGUGUUAAUAUCACAUACAUUUGACGGUACCCACAAAGGAAGCACCGGCUAACUCCGUGCCAGCAGCCGCGGUAAUACGAAGGGUGCAAGCGUUGUUCGGAUUUAUUGGGCGUAAAGCGCGCGCAGGCGGACUAUUAAGCCAGAUGUGAAAUCUCGGAGCUCAACUUCGAAACUGCGUCUGGAACUGGUAGUCUAGAGUCUUGGAGAGGAAAGUGGAAUUUCGCAUGUAGGGGUAAAAUCCGUAGAGAUGCGAAGGAACACCAGAGGCGAAGGCGACUUUCUAGACAAGAACUGACGCUGAGGCGCGAAAGCGUGGGGAGCAAACAGGAUUAGAUACCCUGGUAGUCCACGCCGUAAACUAUGUGCACUAGACCUGGGGAUGUUAACCGUAUCCGGGUCGUAGCUAACGCGAUAAGUGCACCGCCUGA
rnacentral:rRNA from 1 species